rnacentral:lncRNA from 1 species
UGAAAUUGAAUGGCACAGUUGGGUUUGCAAAGCACUCUUAGGGUUUAUAUGAGAGGGAAUUGGUUCUUUGCCGAUGAGUUCCCUUCAGUCUCUGGAGGUUGCUCUGAACUCUGUUAGCUCUUGUCUCACUAUCUUUUUCCUGCCAGGGUAAUAGGAAUAGAAUGGAAUUUUGUUUCACUGAAACUCUGAAUUUAUAACCUG